ensembl:lncRNA
GUCAGUCAGAACCCAGGCCACCAAUGGCCCCCAGUUCACGGCAGAGCCCAGCGUUUGGGUGGAUCGGGGUUUUGAUUGGGCGGCGGGCAGCGGGCGGGGCAUGAGCAGGGAGGAUAUCGAGGAAAGAUUGAGAAAAUACAGAGGACAAAAGGUACCAUGGUUAGCAUCAAGUGUGAGAAAAGGUAAUAUUAUGGGGUGUACAAGCACUAGCUGGGGUUUAACAGUAUAUAACAUGUGAGCUUUAGUGUGUUUACCCAGUCAGUACUGUGUCUAGGCGGUCAGUACUGUGUCUAGACGGUCAGUACUGUGUCUAGACGGUCAGUGCUGUGCCUAGGCGGUCAGUACUGUGUCUAGACGGUCAGUACUGUGUCUAGUGACGGUCAGUACUGUGUCUAGACGGUCAGGACUGUGUCCAGACGGUCAGUACUGUGUCUAGGCUGUCAGUACUGUGUCUAGGCGGUCAGUACUGUGUCUAGGCGGUCAGUACUGUGUCUAGGCAGUCAGGACCGUGUCCACACGGUCAGUACUGUGUCCAGACGGUCAGUACUGUGUCUAGGCUGUCAGUACUGUGUCCAGACGGUCAGUACUGUGUCUAGGCUGUCAGUACUGUGUCCAGACGGUCAGUACUGUGUCUAGGCUGUCAGUUCUGUGUCCAGACGGUCAGUACUGUGUCUAGGCGGUCUGUAGUGUGUCUAGGCGGUCAGUACUGUGUCUAGACGGUCAGUACUGUGUCUAGGCUGUCAGUACUGUGUCCAGAUGGUCAGUACUGUGUCUAGGCAGUCAUGGGACAGUGGUUGGGUUUGGGUGAGUAGAGACGAAAGAGGUAGAAAGGAGAGGAGUAGAGAGGAGAGGAGUAGGAGUCUCCAACAUGCAGAGUGACCCACUGGUAGAGCAUGCUGGGGGCUAGCUAGCUAGCAUCCGUUAACAGGUGAGCUAACAGGUGACAGGUAAAUCACAACUGAACUCAUGCAAGAUUCAAAACAAGGAGCAGCCCGCUAUCUGAGAACAUGUGUAGAAACCCUGCAUGGGGGACCCUCAAUGUCAAUCACAUUUAGAAUCGGGAGAAAUAUCGACCCCCUGAAAAGGAAAAUCCCUGUUAUGAAGGCGUCUCCACGGUAACGACGUCCAGUACGUUGCCAUGGUUGCAGUGCCGUGCCAUUGUUCAACUUGGAGCCAAAGGGUUCUGGGUUCAGACCGCCUGACGUGCCUAGCCGGGACCUGACCCUGGCCUGGGGCUGAUAGGACCAUGGAGCAUGUUGGCUAGCAUGAGGCUAUAGCAUGUUGGCUAACAUGAUGCUAUAGCAUGUUGGCUGACAUGAUGCUAUAGCAUGUUGGCUGACAUGAUGCUAUAGCAUGUUGGCUGACAU